rnacentral:sRNA from 1 species
CUUGAGCUUAGCAUCAACUCUGCUUUUGGAGCGUCCAGAAUAGGCCCCCCUUCCCCUGGGCUUGUUGAUUCUCUGGAAGGGCGGGUAGAAGUCUUGUUGUUUCCUUCUGCCCCAACAGGCCCUCCACGCCCUUCAGGAGGAGCAGGCCAGACUCAAGAUGAGGCUGUGGGACCUGCAGCAGCUGAGAAAGGAGCUCAGGGACUCCCCCAAAGACAAGGUCCCAUUUUCAGUGCCCAAGAUCCCCCUGGUAUUCCGAGGACACACCCAGCAGGACCCGGAAGUGCCUAAGUCUUUAGUUUCCAAUUUGCGGAUCCACUGCCCUCUGCUUGCGGGCUCUGCUCUGAUCACCUUUGAUGACCCCAAAGGUAAGCUCAUGGGGAGCCUCAGGAGGGAGGUGGGGAGGAUUCCCAGUACUGACCCUGUUUCCCACCACCCAGUGGCUGAGCAGGUGCUGCAACAAAAGGAGCACACGAUCAACAUGGAGGAGUGCCGGCUGCGGGUGCAGGUCCAGCCCUUGGAGCUGCCCAUGGUCACC